rnacentral:sRNA from 1 species
AGCAAGUUUUAAUGCUACUAAAGCUGAAAAGAUUACUUGGACGAUAAUUGCCAGAAAACACCUUCAAUUUAUUUCUGUUUCUUGUUUAUAUUUUAAAGUGUGUAAGCCAUUUAAUGUGUUAAAAUUGCACUGUGUUGGAAAAUAUUGACUGACACAAAGAUCAGUGUUUUGUAUGAACUUGGAAGGUAACCAAAAGAGGUGUAAUAAAUUUGAUUUGAUUUCAAUGACUAUGCAUGAAUGAUACAAAUACCCAUUUAAUGCACUUGCUGCAAUGAGCUACAUUUCUCCUACCAAUACCCCUAUGUCCUUUUCCAAUUUAAAAAAAAAAUGUCAAAAAAUAUCCUAUUAAUGCACUGGCUACAAUUUGUAACCCCCACCCCCCCAUUUCAUUUCUACCGCCCCUCCUCCUUUGAAAAAUGUGUACACUGUUUUAUGUAUAUGUGUGUUUGUAUCUGAUUCAAUACAUGUACAUGUAUCAAUGAU